UAAUGUGACUCCAGCCGCACAAAGAGUCCCGGCGGCACCCGCAGGAGCCUCAGGAGUCCUGACUGAUGUUUGCGCUCCUCAGAAUAACAGCCAGUGAAAGCCAUUACGGACUAAAGCAGCAGAUCCCAUCACGACCAAACUGUACCAGACCUGGAACGCCACCCCACUCCUUUCCUGUAACCGCCGGCUCGCCACGGGGAAACAACCCCCCCCCCCCGACGCAAAUGUAUCCUGAUGCAUCCCUUCACGGUGUCCCCGCUGUCCCCGCUGUCCCCUGCUCCCUCCGU
ensembl:lncRNA